AUGGUUGUUGUCAAAGGAGGAAAUAAUAGGGAGGAUUGGAGAUGCACUGGGCAUGCCAUGGCAACGAAACAAAAGCUUAUUACUUCAAUUCAAUUAUGCAAGCUGAAGGUGAUUGCUUUAAUCCAAUGUUGCAAGCAAUCUGAAGCCAACAAGCUGAGUUUCUUGCCAAAGUGGCGGCGGUUAGAGAUCAAUAAUACAUGUGGUGUAAAGUUUAAAUUAUUUAAAUGCCAUCGACCGUGGCUUCUCCACAUAUCCGGAUUGUGCUCAUCCGCCCCGCCGUUCCCCAUCCCUUGUAUCGCUGGCGUUAGUGUGGCCCGAUUGCCGGCGUUCGGCUAG
rnacentral:rRNA from 1 species